UAUCGUAUGGUCUAGUGGUUAGGGCAGCUAGGGCGGUUACGAGCCGGAGGACCCAGGUUCGAUUCCUGGUGCGGUGG
rnacentral:tRNA from 1 species